GUAGCAUUUUCUCCAGAUUUAAGUUUCCCAACCAUUUAUUGACCCAUUUCAUGGUAAUAUAAAUCUUGUAAACUCUUUUUAGGAUUUUGAAAAUUAAGCCUUUACUUUUGCAUUUUAUAUGAUAAACAAAUGGUUUUAAGUAAGACUUUUUGUUGUUGUUUUGUUUUUCAGCUCAGUAUAUUAAUUGUGGAAGUCCCAGCUACUAUGAAGAAAAUUUUAAAACUCAUUUACUUGCUAUGUGAUUGAAGCAUUAAGAACUUGAAAGUCUCAUGGAUCAGGCCCAUCCUCAUUAGCACAUGAAAACAAGCACAACCAACUACUCAGGUACAUAGUCUGUGUGUGUCCAGGUGUUAGAACGUCAAUUCUGAUACUUCUUGUUCUCUUGAAGUUAAAAAUAAAACAAAGAAAUGUUAAUGGCUCA
rnacentral:lncRNA from 1 species